UUCAUGCGCUAUGCCUUCGAC
rnacentral:piRNA from 1 species